rnacentral:rRNA from 2 species
GGAAGGUCAGGGAAGCUAUUCGAACGCCAGAUCGAGCCUGGCUCGUAUUUCGUACAAAGUAAACCUGGUUAGGUUAGAGUCAGACAAAUGAAUAACACGUGGGCAACCUGCCAACAAGACCGGGAUAACUCCGGGAAACCGGAACUAAUACCGGAUAACACCAAAGACCGCAUGGUCUUUGGUUGAAAGGCGGCUUCGGCUGGCACUUGCGGAUGGGCCCCCCGCCCAUUAGCUAGUGGGUGAGGUAACGGCUCACCAAGGCGACGAUGCGUAGCCGGCCUGAGAGGGUGACCGGCCUCACUGGGACUGAGACACGGCCCAAACUCCUACGGGAGGCACCAGUAGGGAAUCUUCCUCAAUGGACGAAAGUCUGACGGAGCGACGCCCCGUGAGCGAAAAAGGCCUUCGGGUCUUAAAGCUCUGUUGUGAGGGACCAAUGACCCCCGUUUCAAUAAAAAAAAAAAAAAAAAACGGUACCUCCCAACAAAGCCCCGGCUAACUGGGUGCCAGCACCCGCGGUAAUACGUAGGGGUGCUAGCAUUGUCCGGAAUUAUUGGGCGUAAAGCGCGCGCAGGCGGUCCUUUAAGUCUGAUGUGAAAGCCCACGGCUCAUCCGUGGAGGGUCAUUGGAAACUGGGGGGACUUGACUGCAAAGAGGAGAGCGGAAUUCCACGUGUAGCUGUGAAAUGCCUAGAGAUAUGGAGGAGCACCAUGGCGAAGGCGGCUCCUCUCGGCUGUAACUCGACACUAGGCUCGAAAGCGUGAGGAGCAAACAGAUAUAAUUCUCUCGGUCAUCCCACGCCUAAAUUAUGAGUGGUAAGUGGUUAUAGGGGUCACACCCCUCUAAGGCAUAGCUACAGCUAUUAAUAGUCCUCCCGGGGGAGUAGCAGCCGCAAUAUGAAUAAUAAAAAAAGUGACGCGCGGCCCGCCGAUACAUCCGAUGAAUAUUUUAAUAUACUAGCACCACCGAGAAUAAACCCGUGGCUUGUACUGACCUACAGACCAUGAUUUAUGAGGUGCGCUCUCUCCUUGCCGGACGGGUUAAG